AUUGAACGCUGGCGGCAGGCCUAACACAUGCAAGUCGAACGAGCGGCGGACGGGUGAGUAAUGUCUGGGAAACUGCCCGAUGGAGGGGGAUAACUACCGGAAAAGGUAGCUAAUAACGCAUAUCAUCGGAUGUGAUCAGUUGGGAUUAGCUAGUAGGUGGGGUAACGGCUGACCUAGGCAACGAACCCUAGCUGGUCUGAGAGGAUGACCAGCCACACUGGAACUGAGACACGGUCCAGACUCCUACGGGAGGCAGCAGUGGGGAAUAUUGCGCAAUGGGCGAAAGCCUGAUGCAGCCACGCCGCGUGUAUGAAGAAGGCCUUCGGGUUGUAAAGUACUUUCAGCGGGGAGGCGUUACUCGCAGAGGAAGCCCCGGCUAACUCCGUGCCAGCCGCCGCGGUAAUAC
rnacentral:rRNA from 1 species